rnacentral:lncRNA from 1 species
GAGUCUAAAACAGAAGAGCUGAGAAAUCAGUCUGUGGCCAUCGUGGACUGGAGCUCAUUGAGAUGGCAGCUUCUGCCCAGGGCCAAUCCACCCACCACUCUCCCUGCCCUUUGCCUAAUCGUCUUUAUUUUUUCCCUUUCCCUUUCUAAACUAUCUUCCAUUGUGGAUUUUGGAAUUACUGGCUGGAAUUACCCUUUUCUGAGGAACACCGCUACAUGUGAGCUAAUUCUGUGCAUCUCUCUUAAGGAAAGCGGCUCGGAGGUCCUCAGCCUAGAGAAGGGGCUCAAACACCUGAGGGGCCGAACGCCCGUGAGGUCGGGGAGGACGGUGGCCACUGCCCCGCCGGGCCGAGCCACAGCAGAGCCCCCGGCGCCGAGCGGGAGCGGCCGGGGCGGGCCGGGCCUCAGGGGAGCGGCCGCGGCGGCCCCCCCCCCCCCCCCCCCCCCCCCCCCCCCCCCCCCCCCCCCCCCCCCCCCCCCGGCGGGGCCUGCGAGGGGAGCUGCGGGGGCUGCUCGGAGCCGGGAAAUGACGGGGGGAGCCACCAGAACUGCUGGGGAAACGCUGGUUCAGCCUAAGUUAGUAGAAAGGAAUUUUGGUCAUGGAAUGCAGACGAGGUGAAGUGAGUGGCUCUGAGACAAAGUUGUGACUGUUGA